rnacentral:rRNA from 1 species
AUUGAACGCUGGCGGCAUGCCUAACACAUGCAAGUCGAGCGGAUGAAGGGAGCUUGCUCCUGGAUUCAGCGGCGGACGGGUGAGUAAUGCCUAGGAAUCUGCCUGGUAGUGGGGGAUAACGUCCGUAAACGGGCGCUAAUACCGCAUACGUCCUGAGGGAGAAAGUGGGGGAUCUUCGGACCUCACGCUAUCAGAUGAGCCUAGGUCGGAUUAGCUAGUUGGUGGGGUAAAGGCCUACCAAGGCGACGAUCCGUAACUGGUCUGAGAGGAUGAUCAGUCACACUGGAACUGAGACACGGUCCAGACUCCUACGGGAGGCAGCAGUGGGGAAUAUUGGACAAUGGGCGAAAGCCUGAUCCAGCCAUGCCGCGUGUGUGAAGAAGGUCUUCGGAUUGUAAAGCACUUUAAGUUGGGAGGAAGGGCAGUAAGUUAAUACCUUGCUGUUUUGACGUUACCAACAGAAUAAGCACCGGCUAACUUCGUG